GGAUGUGAGGGCGAUCUGGCUGCGACAUCUGUCACCCCAUUGAUCACCAGCAUUGAUUUGGCUGAUCUGGCUGGCUAGGCGGAUGUCCCCUUCCUCCCUCACCGCUCCAUGUGCGUCCUUCCCGAAGUUGCGCACUCAGUCGAAGAGGACGACCAUCCCCAAUAGAGGAGGACCGGUCUUUGGUCAAGGGUAUACGAGUAGCUGUGCUCCCCUGCUAGAACCUCCAAACAAGCUCUCAAGGUCCAUUUGUAGGAGAACGUAGGGUAGUCAAGCUUUCAGGACUCCAGGCACAUCCAAAUGAGGUGCUGCAUGUGGCAGUCUGCCUUCCUUA
rnacentral:snRNA from 1 species